UACGUAGGUGACUAGCGUUGUCCGGAUUUACUGGGCGUAAAGAGCGCGCAGGCGGUCGUUCAAGUCGAGUGUGAAAGCCCCCGGCUCAACUGGGGAGGGUCAUUCGAUACUGAUCGACUCGAAGGCAGGAGAGGGAAGCGGAAUUCCCGGUGUAGUGGUGAAAUGCGUAGAUAUCGGGAGGAACACCAGUGGCGAAGGCGGCUUUCUGGCCUGCUCUUGACGCUGAGGCGCGAAAGCUAGGGUAGCAAACGGG
rnacentral:rRNA from 1 species